rnacentral:rRNA from 1 species
AUUGAACGCUGGCGGCAGGCUUAACACAUGCAAGUCGAGCGGAGACUUCGGUCUUAGCGGCGAACGGGUGAGUAAUACCUAGGAAUCUGCCUAUUAGUGGGGGAUAACGAAUCGAAAGGUUCGCUAAUACCGCAUACGUCCUACGGGAGAAAGGGGGGGAUCUUUGGACCUCUCGCUAAUAGAUGAGCCUAGGCCGGAUUAGCUAGUUGGUAGGGUAAAGGCCUACCAAGGCGACGAUCUGUAGCUGGUCUGAGAGGAUGGCCAGCCACACUGGAACUGAGACACGGUCCAGACUCCUACGGGAGGCAGCAGUGGGGAAUAUUGGACAAUGGGGGCAACCCUGAUCCAGCCAUGCCGCGUGUGUGAAGAAGGCCUUCGGUU